CGCCGGGCUUGGGAUGCGCGCCCCGCGAGGUCCCGUCGGACACAGGCCCCCCUGGUGAGACAGCCAGGACCGGGACCACGCUUGACGGAACAAAGGCCACGAGCCAAAGACAGGGCUGGUUGUUGUGAGGAUUAAAGAUCAUGUCUGUAAAUUCUCUGCCACGUGCCUAGGAUUCUCCCCAGGAUGAAAUCUGGAGCAGUGAGGAUCCGUGGCUGGCUCUCAGGUGCGCAGCAACAGGUGGUGUUGAGCACUUUACACCAGAAGAGCUCAGCCCCGGACACCUACACAUGAAUUGCUCUAUUGUGCAAGCCAGAAGCAUUAAUCCUAAGAGCAAGAAGAAAGAUCUUUACACACCUUAAUAUAUCACUUCCUUUGAGGGACGCCAGCCACCAUGUUGAGCAGUCCUAUGAAUAAGCCUUUCAGUGAGGAACUAAGGCCUCAAGUCAAUAGCCAUAUGAGGGCGCCAUCUUAGAAGUGGAUCCUCCAGCCCCAGUGAAGCUUUCAGGUGACUGCAGCCCUUGCCAACCUCUUGACUGCAACCUCACGAGAGACUCUGGGCCAGAAACAUCCAACUAAGCAGCUCUCAAAUUCUUGAGCAUUAUUCACAAUAGCCAAGACUUGGAAGCAACCUAGGUGCCCAUCAAGGGACAAAUGGAUAAAGAAGAUGUAGUGUAUAUAUACCCGAUGGAAUACUACUCAGCCAUAAGAAAUGAUGAACUCCGUCCACUUGUGACAACAUGAAUGGACCUUGAGGGCAUUAUGAAAAGUGUCUUGAAAGGUUGUGUGAGGCCACGAUCUUGUGCCAAGGAGAAGACAAGCUGAAAGAUGGAAGGGUGUGAAGCAGAGCGCGGCUGAACAUAAGGACAGAAAGCGCCUGGAACCUUGCAGACACAACUGAGCGGCUGCAUCAAACCUGGCUUGCCUCCUUCCAAGCUUCUCCUUAGGUGAUUGGGAGCAAGUUUCUUACUCUCUCCAAGCCCCAGUUUCUUCACCUGCAAAGAGAAGGAGAUCAGCAGUCAGGACCCAUUCCCCAGGGCCAUUGUGAGAAAUAAAUAGCAGAACAAUGGUGUUUUUGGACAUUUCUCCAAGAGUGGCCAGAAGACCAUUGCAUCAGAUGAGCACCUGGAGUCUUGUGAAAAACACAAAUUCCAUAGACAUCCUGAAUUUUAAUCUGCAGGGGUGGCGUUGGAGGGGAUGAGAAGAGAAGCCUAGGAUUCUGCAUUUUAAAGGGGCUUCUCAGGGGAUGGUUGACUGGUAAAUUUUAGGAAUCAACUACCUAGGGAAUAGCAAAAUGUUCCCUUAGAUGGGCCAAGGCCUGGGGGAUCUAUUUCUGCUGAAGCUCAUUAAGCCACUUUGGGUUUAUGUUCAUGAGGAAACCACAACCCCAAGACGCAAGUGAGGAAUAAGAACACACAGUUUUGAGAAGAGGAAUUAAGUAAUAACCAACAAUGCUUCCACGUCUAAGAAUUUUUAUAACAUUUCUCCAGUAGGAACACCACAACACGUUUACCCUCUUUCUAUCCUUACUUUGCCUGCAGCACAAGUUUUCUUACAUAUAGAUGCUCAAAAAAUGCCCAUUACAUUGACUUGAAUGUAUUCCCCUUUGAAGAGCCAUACUUUCAACAAGUACUUUCAUAUAUUUUUUACUGGUGGUGUUUGGACAAGCUUACGUGUAUACAUGGGCAAGGGGCAGAAGCAGUGAUGGUGAACAAAAGUGGGUUUCAUAAACAAGAGAGAUAAAACUUAGCGAGUUGCUGAGGAGACAGGUUGUAGCAGGAAACAUAACUACAAGUUCUCAUUUUGGUUUACUUCCUCUCUUGCCUUGGGAUCUUAAGCAAGCUACUUUCAUUUCUCUAUUUCAACUGGGCCUCUUUUUUUUUUUUUUCUUUUUUUAAGGAAUAUGCUUUGUGGAAUUAUUUUAAGAAGUAACUAAUACGAGAUCGGAAAGCACCUUUUCCUCUUAGCCAAAAUUGUGCACAAGAGAAUCUCCACUCUCUGGGCCAGUUCAAUGAAAGAAGUGAAUUUUCCUUUUUUUCUCUUUCUUUCCUCCUUUCUAUAAAGUUCAUUCACUUAGUAAA
ensembl:lncRNA